rnacentral:lncRNA from 1 species
AGCCAGGGUCGAACUGAUGGCUGCUUGUCUUACACUCUGGGUCCACAAAGGGCAGAGUCCCACCCGCUUCUGACAGAGAUACUAGUGGUCUGGAUUUCUCUUACCUGUGUGAACAUCUACUCACCUGUGGUUGCGUUGGUUUCUUCUUCCCCUUUUUCCAUGUAACUACUUCUUCAUCAUCCUCAAUUAUAAUUAACACUAGGUUGCCUUCGGUCUGUCAUCAGAAUUAAAUGGGAAACGUACAGAUGAGCUAAGACGGUCGUUUCCCUCCAUGGAUCUGUGCAAAGGCACUCACCAUUUUAACAGCCCCUCUUUUCCCAAGACCUGUGAAGCCCAGGAAGAUGCCCACCCACCCCCAGUCCGCCUAGCAUAUCCAGCUAUAUCUCUUACACAAAAUCUAACUCCCAUGGCCUGUCUCUAGAUGGUUCAUUAGCUCUGAUUUCUGUUUCCCAAGGUCUGGCCUGACUAAUACGAGUGAGGGAAAAGCUGUGAAUUCACAAUCGCAUUAUGACAUAGAGAUGAAGGUAUCUGCCGCGGAGUUGAGUCUCCUGGAGAAAAAAGCCUCAUGGGAAACUGUAAUACCCACCUGCAGUGCUCUGUCGGAGAUCUGCUGCAGCUCAGGAUGGAGAGAGAGAGCAGCUGGCUGACAUUCCACACCAGGCUUCAUUCAGUAGUACUCCUCAGGAACCCAGACAAAGACGGGCCCAACGAAUCUAGAAGACAACGGUGGAGCUAAAAGGCAGCAUUUUGACAAGACAAGUAUUAUAGAGAAACGUGUCAUAAGUCCAGGUGAUUAAGAAAGAAGAGAGUGGAAAGAGAAAGGUGAAAUAACCACAGGGAGAUUUAAAUAAAUGUGAGAGGAUAUUACAUUUAGAACACUGAGGGGACAUGAUUUC